UACGGGGGGGAGCAAGCGUUGUUCGGAUUUACUGGGCGUAAAGAGCGUGUAGGCGGCCCGGUAAGUCCGCCGUGAAAGUCCAGGGCUCAACCCUGGAAUGCCGGUGGAAACUGCCGGGCUGGAGUCCGGAAGAGGCGAGUGGAAUUCCUGGUGUAGCGGUGAAAUGCGCAGAUAUCAGGAGGAACACCAAUGGCGAAGGCAGCUCGCUGGGACGGUACUGACGCUGAGACGCGAAAGCGUGGGGAGCAAACAGG
rnacentral:rRNA from 1 species